AACGAACGCUGGCGGCAUGCCUAACACAUGCAAGUCGAACGAGACCUUCGGGUCUAGUGGCGCACGGGUGCGUAACGCGUGGGAACCUGCCCUUAGGUUCGGAAUAACUCCCCGAAAGGGGUGCUAAUACCGGAUAAUGUCUUCGGACCAAAGAUUGAUCGCCUUUGGAUGGGCCGGCGUUGGAUUAGCUAGUUGGUAGGGUAAAAGCCUACCAAUGCGACGAUCCAUAGCUGGUCUGAGAGGAUGAUCAGCGACACUGGUACUGAGACACGGCCCAGACUACUACGGGAGGCAGCAGUGGGGAAUAUUGGACAAUGGGCGAAAGCCUGAUCCAGCAAUGCCGCGUGAGUGAUGAAGGCCUUAGGGUUGUAAAGCUCUUUUACCCGGGAUGAUAAUGACAGUACCGGGAGAAUAAGCUCCGGCUAACUCCGUG
rnacentral:rRNA from 1 species